rnacentral:rRNA from 1 species
CCUACGGGUGGCAGCAGUGAGGAAUAUUGGUCAAUGGACGAGAGUCUGAACCAGCCAAGUAGCGUGAAGGAUGACGGCCCUAUGAGUUGUAAACUGCUUUUAUAUGGGAAUAAAAUGUUCCACGUGUGUGAUUUUGUAUGUACCGUAUGAAUAAGGAUCGGCUAACUCCGUGCCAGCAGCCGCGGUAAUACGGAGGAUCCAAGCGUUAUCCGGAUUUAUUGGGUUUAAAGGGAGCGUAGGCGGUUGGUUAAGUUAGUUGUGAAAUUUCGAGGCUCAACCUCAGAAUUGCCUUUGAAACUGGUCGGCUUGAGAGUAGUAGAGGUGGGCGGAAUUCGUGGUGUAGCGGUGAAAUGCUUAGAUAUCAUGAAGAACACCGAUUGCGAAGGCAGCUUACCGGACUGCAACUGACAUUGAGGCACGAAAGCGUGGGGAGCAAACAGGAUUAGAUACCCCAGUAGUC